rnacentral:rRNA from 1 species
AUUGAACGCUGGCGGCAGGCCUAACACAUGCAAGUCGAGCGGCAGCGGGAAAGUAGCUUGCUACUUUUGCCGGCGAGCGGCGGACGGGUGAGUAAUGCCUGGGGAUCUGCCCAGUCGAGGGGGAUAACUACUGGAAACGGUAGCUAAUACCGCAUACGCCCUACGGGGGAAAGCAGGGGACCUUCGGGCCUUGCGCGAUUGGAUGAACCCGGGUGGGAUUAGCUAGUUGGUGAGGUAAUGGCUCACCAAGGCGACGAUCCCUAGCUGGUCUGAGAGGAUGAUCAGCCACACUGGAACUGAGACACGGUCCAGACUCCUACGGGAGGCAGCAGUGGGGAAUAUUGCACAAUGGGGGAAACCCUGAUGCGGCCAUGCCGCGUGUGUGAAGAAGGCCUUCGGGUUGUAAAGCACUUUCAGCGAGGAGGAAAGGUUGGUAGCUAAUAACUGCCAGCUGUGACGUUACUCGCAGAAGAAGCACCGGCUAACUCCGUGCCAGCCGCCGCAGUAA